GACGAACGCUGGCGGCGUGCUUAACACAUGCAAGUCGAACGGAAAGGCCCUGCUUUUGUGGGGUGCUCGAGUGGCGAACGGGUGAGUAACACGUGAGUAACCUGCCAUUGACUUUGGGAUAACUUCAGGAAACUGGGGCUCAUACCGGAUAGGAGCUCCUGCUGCAUGGUGGGGGUUGGAAAGUUUCGGCGGUUGGGGAUGGACUCGCGGCUUAUCAGCUUGUUGGGGGGGUAGUGGCUUACCAAGGCCUUGACGGGUAGCCGGCCUGAGCGGGUGACCGGCCACGUUGGGACUGAGAUACGGCCCAGACUCCUACGGGAGGCAGCGGUGGGGAAUAGUGCACAAUGGGCUGAAGCCUGAUGCAGCAACGCCGCGUGCGGGAUGACGGCCUUCGGGUUGUAAACCGCUUUCGCCUGUGACGAAGCGUGAGUGACGGUAAUGGGUAAAGAAGCACCGGCUAACUACGUG
rnacentral:rRNA from 1 species